GCAGGGCGAGAACGCCCUCCCGGCCGCUCGCAGGGGGAAGGCAGCCGGCAGGGGUGGCGAGCGGCUGGCCGAGCGGCUCGAUGGGGCCGGCCUGCGGGCGGGGCGGGGCCGCAGCUCGCUCGUGGCCUCGGAGAUGGAUUCUUGGCCGCUCGCGCAAGCCACCAUCUUAGAGGGCGGGCAGUCCAGUCGGGGAGGGAAGGAAAGCAAAGCGAAUCGGAUCGGGUGGUGCCGUCGGAGGAUGCAGCUCUGGGCCCCUUCGCGGCCUCAGAAGGUCUUGAUGUAAGUGGCUGAAAAAUGGUUCUGCAAGAUGCCAGCAUCAACUUUAACGUUGUUAAAAUGGUUACAAAUGGUGUGGGUUUUUAUCAUGAAUCGAAUGAGCUCCCAGAGCAGUUCAUCCACUCAACGUAGGCGAAUGGCUCUAGGAAUUGUCAUUCUUCUCCUUGUUGACGUGAUAUGGGUUGCCUCUUCAGAACUUACUUCUUAUGUUUUUACAAAGUACAACAAGCCUUUUUUCAGUACAUUUGCAAAAACAUCCAUGUUUGUUCUAUACCUCUUGGGAUUUAUUGUUUGGAAACCAUGGAGGCAACAGUGUACUCGUGGAUUUCGUGGAAAGCAUGCAGCUUUUUUUGCAGAUGCUGAAGGUUAUUUUGCUGCUUGUACAACAGAUAACACUGUAAACAGUUCUCUGAGUGAACCUUUAUAUGUUCCUGUAAAGUUUCAUGAUUUGUCAACUGAAAAAAAUGGCAGUAAUAAUAGUGAUGCAGAGAAAACUCCCAAAAAGCCUCGUGUAAGGUUCAGUAAUAUUAUGGAGAUUCGACAACUCCCAUCAAGCCAUGCAUUGGAAGCAAAGUUGUCUCGCAUGUCAUAUCCAACAGUUAAGGACCAAGAAUCAAUAUUAAAAACAGUAGGAAAACUUACUGCAACUCAAGUAGCAAAAAUCAGCUUUUUCUUUUGUUUUGUGUGGUUCUUGGCAAAUUUCUCUUACCAAGAAGCUCUGUCAGAUACCCAGGUUGCUAUAGUUAAUAUAUUGUCGUCAACCUCUGGUCUUUUCACUUUAAUCUUAGCUGCAGUCUUUCCUAGUAACAGUGGAGAUAGGUUUACCCUUUCCAAAUUAUUAGCUGUCAUUUUAAGCAUUGGUGGUGUGGUACUUGUUAACCUUUCUGGAUCUGAGAAAUCUGCUGGAAAAGAUACAAUAGGUUCCCUUUGGUCUCUUGUAGGAGCAAUGCUGUAUGCUGUGUACAUAGUAAUGAUCAAAAGGAAAGUAGAUAGAGAAGAUAAACUUGACAUACCAAUGUUCUUUGGUUUUGUAGGGCUGUUCAAUCUGUUGCUGCUGUGGCCAGGGUUUUUCCUGCUUCACUAUACCGGGUUUGAAGCGUUUGAGUUUCCCAAUAAGCUGAUAUGGAUGUGCAUUGUUAUUAAUGGCCUUAUUGGAACAGUUCUGUCAGAAUUCCUCUGGCUGUGGGGAUGCUUUCUUACCUCAUCACUGAUAGGCACACUUGCGCUAAGCCUUACAAUACCUCUGUCCAUAAUAGCUGAUAUGUGCAUGCAAAAGGUGCAGUUUUCCUGGUUAUUUUUUGCAGGGGCAGUACCUGUAUUUUUUUCUUUUUUCAUUGCAACUCUCUUAUGUCACUACAACAACUGGGAUCCAGUGAUGGUGGGAAUCAGAAGAAUUUUUGCCUUUAUUUGUAGAAAGCAUCGAAUUCAGAGGUAGGGCAGUCACAAAGUAUAACGCUAUCUCUUCUUUAGCCUUUCCAAAUGCAAGAAGAAAACGAGCAGUGUGAAAGUCUCAUUCCUAUGCAUAGUGUUUCACAAGAUGGAGACAGUUGCUGUUCAUAGACAAAAGUUUGAAAAUGGAAUGAUGCCCAGCGAAAAGACAAUCUCCUGAAAAAGUCCCUGAGGAAUCAUGUUCCAGUGCCUAUUCCGAAUUUGUAGUAAAAAUAAGAAGUUUCAGUUCUUUUGGAACUCUAGACUUUUCUUCUUUCUUGCUUUCACUUAAUUUUAUAAAUGAACAAAUUUGCUACAUGCCUGUCACCAUAGAAAGUCAGUCUGUCAGAGCAACCAUCCUGCCUUAUCACACAGAGCUCAUGAAGUUACUUGACAAAAUCAAGAAUCAAGAAAACAAAUGCUGUUAAAGUGAUUUCUUUCUUCGUUUAGCUCACAAUUUUGUUAAAUGCUGGACAAUGUUAUUUUUAAAAAAUACUUUCAAAUGAGUUAUAUAAAUAAGUUUGCAGGUCAUCAAGUCUUACCAGGCUUUCAGAUGAAAAGCUAAAUAGAGAUGUUACCUGUAGUAAGUAAAAAUUAACUUUUUUAUGUUGUAUGAACUAUUUGGAGAAGAAAAUAGAGAAAUAAUUUAUUAAGUUCAUUCUUGUAAUUAUUAAGGCAGGAUCUUUGUAUGGUCCUGGAACACUACAUAUAUAUGUAUUAUGCCAUUUUCAGAAGAAUUGUAAUGGCAAUAUGUGCCGAUGUUUAAAAAUGUUUUGCUACCUAACAGUCUGGAAUGUUUAAAAUUUUAGUGAAUGGUAGAAUAUUAGAAAUUAUACUACAUUUGGGUAUACAUUCUGAAAAUCAGUGUUUGUUUUAAAGAGACUGAUUCUGUAACCCAUUCUUAUUCCUAGUUACCUUACAUGGAAAACUAAAUUUGAACAUUUUCAUGUGUAUAGCUGCCAAGUUCUAAACGAGACCAAAUUAAUUGUGGAAGUUUUCGGUCGAUGGGUUGGCACUACAGUAAUUUUCUGAAUAAUCUGGAAGAUAAAGGUGUCUGCAUUGAUUUUUUUUUCCCCCCACCCCCCCUAGUUGCAUUAAUAAAUUUAUUCUAAACCUGAUAAUUUUCCUUAUAAACUGUUGUUUUCCUUCCACUGCAGUGCUUAUGUCCUAUUUGAUUCUGAAAAGUUAUGAAUAGUUAUAUUCAGGAAUAUUUGAAAUGA